CAGCAGCCGCGGGAAUACGUAGGUGGCGAGCGUUGUCCGGAAUUAUUGGGCGUAAAGGGAGCGCAGGCGGACAUAUAAGUCCAUCUUAAAAGUGCGGGGCUCAACCCCGUGAGGGGAUGGAAACUGUAUGCCUUGAGUGCAGGAGAGGAAAGCGGAAUUCCUAGUGUAGCGGUGAAAUGCGUAGAUAUUGGGAGGAACACCAGUGGCGAAGGCGGCUUUCUGGACUGUAACUGACGCUGAGGCUCGAAAGCCAGGGGAGCGAACGGGAUUAGAUACCCCAGUAGUCCCUGUCUCUUAUACA
rnacentral:rRNA from 1 species